GUGCUCGCUUCGGCAGCACAUAUACUAAAAUUGGAACGAUACAGAGAAGAUUAGCAUGGCCCCUGUGUGGUGCAAUACUGGAAGAAGGAAGAUUUGCCUACUAUU